rnacentral:lncRNA from 1 species
GGUUAAAUAUACUCAGAAUAUUUGCUGAGGAAUGGAAAAAAGUCCCCAAAGUGAAUGAGAACAGUUUGAUAACCUUUUCCUUUACUGCAGCUUGUCUUUGGAAACAGUUAUGGAUAUGUUAGGCAGCAUUCUCCUCUGUGAGGACUAUAUUAAAACAUGCAGCCUUUAUUUUUUCCCUGUCAGUAGAGCUGUACUGAAGAGAUACCACAUGCAUAUCAUAAUGUCUGGCAAUAAUAAGCACUCAAUAAAUAUUCAUCAUUACAAACAACUUAUUCAUCUAACAAAUUUGAGUAUUUUGAGUUAAAUGGGCCAUUUGCCCUAAUUCCAGGCAGCAAGUGACUGAGUGUUUCUAUUCAUCAUUAACAUAAUGGAUGGAUUUGUCAAUAGAUAUUUAUUGAGUGUUUUACAAAGUGAGGCAUUAUCCUAUGUACUAGGCACAGAGUGACAAGAGAAAUACUAAAUCUGCCCUGAGGAAUUAAGGACUGACAGGAAACGCACAACUUGGAGCUAGUCUAUUAGCUAGAUUGUUUUUGCAUUUUAAAUCAUUCUAGAACACAGCAGCUAAAAGAACUUAUAUUUGGGCUCAGUUGGGAAACCAGAGCUAAUGAAACUAUUCUGGGAUGAGUUUGGUCCUCCAUGUUUUUCUCAUUCAUAGCCCAUGAAUACUUUCUAUAUCUUUCAUUCAUUCAUGCAUUAAUUCAUGGGUUCAUGAAACAGUUAUUGAGCUGCUUUUUGUGAGUCAGAUACCAUAUGAUGUGACCCUAAAAUGUCUCAGAAAUGAUUCUAGGCUGGUGAUAGAUAUAUACAGACUCAUCAGCCUGUGCUUAGUAUUCAAAAGUAAAGAGCAAGCAUCUCUUUGAUGUACUGGUUUUGAUUCUAUCGGGUAAAUAACAAAGAGAUUGUUGAAUCAUAUAUAAUGCUGUUAGUUUAUUUUGAGGAGCCUCUAAACAGUUUUCCAUGAAAGGUUGCACUUAUUUACAUUCUUUUUUCCCCUUACUUACAUCUCAAUGAUGACUUUUAUUAGAGUGUAAAAAUGAGAAGCCCAGGGUGAGCAGACUCUAAAUAUUGGCAACUACACAGGACAGGAUGAAGAAGAAGAACACAAAGAGCCAUGCCAUUUGAGUUAAACUGGCAUGGAUGUCAGCCACAUGGCAUGGGCAGGUAUGAAGAAAAAGAGUGAAAAGCUGAAAGUACCAGAAAGAGCAAACUUGUGCUCUGGCUAACAUAUAAAGGGGAAAAAAAC